rnacentral:sRNA from 1 species
AUAUAUGUGUGCAUUU